UACGUAGGGAGCUAGCGUUGUCCGGAAUCAUUGGGCGUAAAGCGCGCGUCGGCGGCCCGGUAAGUCCGCUGUGAAAGUCAAAGGCUCAACCUUUGAAUGUCAGCGGAUACUGCCGGGCUAGAGUCCGGAAGAGGCGAGUGGAACUCCUGGUGUAGCGGUGGAAUGCGCAGAUAUCAGGAAGAACACCAACGGCGAAGGCAGCUCGCUGGGACGGAACUGACGCUAAGGCGCGAAAGCGUGGGGAGCGAACAGG
rnacentral:rRNA from 1 species